UGCUAAGUUGUGAACCGCAAGCGUACGUAUCAGUUGUAGCUCUUCCCUUAGAGUAUUCCCCCCAAGGUUUAUCAAUCCGUGGAACUUAUAGCAAAAAUCUAUUACAACUAGCAUUGUUAGUAUUAACUUAAUGUUUAUGAGAGAUUCAGAUCCAAUCUACUAAGCAUUUAUAGACAAAUAACAGAUAAAGCAAAGAUAACCAAUCUAGAGCAACCUAGACUAUGCAUAUAUUGUAAUUCUGAGCAUAAAUAGCAAAGCAAUAUAGAUAUGAUCCUAGUAAAAGUAUCUUUAAAUCUACACCUCCGGUCCAGAUCCCGAAACCCC
rnacentral:lncRNA from 1 species